CCUACGGGUGGCAGCAGUGGGGAAUAUUGCACAAUGGGGGAAACCCUGAUGCAGCGACGCCGCGUGAGUGAAGAAGUAUCUCGGUACGUAAAGCUCUAUCAGCAGGGAAGAUAAUGACGGUACCUGACCAAUAAGCCCCGGCUAACUCCGUGCCAGCAGCCGCGGUAAUACGUAGGGGGCAAGCGUUAUCCGGAUUUACUGGGUGUAAAGGGAGCGCAGACGGCAGCAUAAGUCUGGAGUGAAAUCCCGGGGCUUAACCCCGGAACUGCUUUGGAAACUGUGAGGCUGGAGUGCAGGAGAGGUAAGUGGAAUUCGUGGUGUAGCGGUGAAAUGCUUAGAUAUCACGAAGAACACCGAUUGCGAAGGCAGCUUACUAAAC
rnacentral:rRNA from 1 species